AAAUAGUCUUUUGUGUAGUUGAGUCUAACUCUUGGCAGGUACCAAGUCUCAGGGAUCCCACAGUGCACAUAGUUUUUAUUGGAUGAUUCGGGACUGGCGAUAAGGAGUUAGACAAGAUGACUAACAAAAGGAGAAUUAUAAGAUGAUUGAGAUGGGUGUUAGUUCAUAUAAACGGAUAUUCAGGACCAAGUGGUAUAAGCAUGGUAUGGGAUGUGCAGGUCUACUUAUCCAAUUAUAUGAAUUAACAGGAGUAGAUGAAGAACAUUCAUGCAUUAUUAUUAUAAAUGUGAUAUUUGGCAGUAUGAUUACGUGUCACUUAAUUUAGUUAUAUCAAUAUAUUGUGGUAAGGUUUCAUGUCCCUACUGAGCGGUGGUUGCUCAUCUUUCACCCUGUUUAAUUUUUCAGAUGAAUUAGUGGCAAGACAAGGACUAAACCAGUUGAGGCUGAAUUAGAUGAGAGUGAUAGAGCUUUAUUUAUUUAUUGUAAAGUAGUAAGAUUUUUAUAAGAAAAUUUUAUUUUAAAACCCUUGUUUUCGGCUUCUUUUUAUUUUAUUUUACCUUUUAUUUUCUCACCCACCGCCCUCUGGGCCGAGGCGUGACAAUUGUACACCUAUUUUUCAUGUUUAAUACACUUGUGUUUUACAAACUUUUCACUAAUGCACACAAAAUUUAUGUAUUAUACACAAAAGUUUUGCAUAUUAUUGAAUAAAAAUAAUAUAUAUUAAAUAAAUCAUAUUAAAAUAUUAUAUAGUGGCUGAACUUAUCAGUUGUAAUUUCCCAAAAUAUUGCCGAAUAAAACACGUACGUAUUUUAUUCAUA
rnacentral:lncRNA from 1 species